rnacentral:lncRNA from 1 species
CCUUUUAGACUUGGAAGGACUAGAGCCACGGCCUUUGCUGCACCUGUUGAAGUGGGAACGAUAUUCAGAGCAGCAGCUCGUGCACGCCUUAGGUCGCGGUGGCUGGCAUCAAGUAGCCUCUGGUCACCCGUGUACGAGUGUGUGGUGGUCAUGGUGCCCUUGAUGAUGCCUGUCCAUGUACAGUACUCAAGCAUGAGCUAGCCUAACAUUACUAUUGAUUGAUUGAUUGAUUAUGCUUUUUCAUACUGGCGGUGGUGUGGUGUGAAUUGAAAGUAACUUACCGAACUUUUGAUCGAGGACCUUGACGAAGGGGGCAAGGCAGUUGGUGGUGCAAGAAGCAUUGCUAAUGAUGGUUUCAUCUGGGCUGUAGGCGUCAGCAUUGACCCCGACCACAUAGGUGGGGAUGUCGCCCUUUCCAGGGGCAGUGAUAAGCACCUUCUUGGCCCCUGCCUGUAGGUGCUUGCCUGCACCCUCCCUAUCCACAAACACACCAGUGCCUUCUAUCACUAG